rnacentral:lncRNA from 1 species
CCAUGGUGCAUUGCAGUUGCGUGUUGUUCAGAAAGUAUGGAAAUUUCAUCGAUAAGCUAAGACUCUUCACCAGGGGAGGAUCCGGUGGAAUGGGUUAUCCUCGUUUAGGUGGAGAAGGUGGAAAAGGUGGUGAUGUCUGGGUUGUAGCCCAGAACAGAAUGACUUUAAAACAACUUAAAGACAGGUAUCCUCGGAAACGGUUUGUGGCUGGAGUAGGAGCAAACAGCAAAAUUAGUGCACUGAAAGGCUCCAAAGGAAAAGACUGUGAAAUCCCUGUGCCUGUGGGUAUUUCAGUAACUGAUGAAAAUGGUAAAAUUAUAGGUGAGUGUACUAUAACUCCAAAAGUUGUAAAAAUGUGCACGUUUUCUAAAAUGAAACAAUGGAAUAGCUUCUCUUGAGUUUCAGAAGAUUUUUUAACUAACAAUUUUAGCUACUAUUCUAUAAGAGAGCAUUUUUAAAACUUAUAAAAGUUAAAUUGACUGCUAGAUUUAAGAUUGUUUUAAAGAUGUUACAGUUCUUACUUGGUCUUAAAAUAUAUAACUAGGCUCUUUUCAAUUGUUUACUGAAGUGUUUUUCUGGGGUCAAACUUUUAAUAGAUUUGUAAAUUGGAAUUUCCUGGACUGUUUUUCUGAAAGAACAAUAUUACAUUAAUGAUUCUACUUAUUAAUUAUAGAUUUGUAAUUGAGAAUUUCCUGGCAUGUAUUUUUGAAAGUAAAAUAUUACAUUAAUGAUUUCACUUACUAAUCUAUAGAUUUGUAAUUUUGCAUUUCUUUGCCUGUAUUUCUGAAAGAAAUAUAUUGCAUUAGUGAUUUCACUUAUUAAUCUUUGCUGUAAGUAUUUCUCUCCCUCUUUUUAAGGAGAACUCAAUAAAGAAAAUGACAGAAUUUUGGUAGCUCAAGGAGGUCUUGGUGGUAAAUUACUUACAAAUUUCUUACCAUUGAAAGGCCAGAAACGAAUAAUUCACCUUGAUCUAAAACUUAUAGCUGAUGUAGGCCUAGUAGGGUAAGUAUCGUUCAUAUUUUUAUUAUUAUACUUUCAGAGAGAGAGUUCUUGAAUAGAAAAUAAAUGUAAAUGGUAAUUUGGGGCCAUAAUUAUUUCUAAUUUAUGGAAUUUGUGUGUUGUGUAUGUACUUGGAAAAUAUGCUGCUAAAUAUUAUUUUCAAAUUGCCAACACAGAGUUUCAUAGUUAUUGCUUAUUUAUAAAAUUAAGACCAGAGCAAUUGAAUAGAUCAGUGGGAAUGUUAGAGAAUGCAUAAAGAAAGAAAAAUCAAUCAAAUGCAAUAUUACAAGAUGGUUAAAUAAUGUUACCAGAUAUUAAUAAUAAAUCCAAACAAACCGUAUUAUUAUU